rnacentral:rRNA from 1 species
AUUGAACGCUGGCGGCAGGCUUAACACAUGCAAGUCGAGCGGGGUGAUGGUGCUUGCACUAUCACUUAGCGGCGGACGGGUGAGUAAUGCUUAGGAAUCUGCCUAUUAGUGGGGGACAACAUCUCGAAAGGGAUGCUAAUACCGCAUACGUCCUACGGGAGAAAGCAGGGGAUCACUUGUGACCUUGCGCUAAUAGAUGAGCCUAAGUCGGAUUAGCUAGUUGGUGGGGUAAAGGCCUACCAAGGCGACGAUCUGUAGCGGGUCUGAGAGGAUGAUCCGCCACACUGGGACGGAGACACGGCCCAGACUCCUACGGGAGGCAGCAGUGGGGAAUAUUGGACAGUGGGGGGAACCCUGAUCCAGCCAUGCCGCGUGUGUGAAGAAGGCCUUAUGGUUGUAAAGCACUUUAAGCGAGGAGGAGGCUCUUUUGGUUAAUACCCAAGAUGAGUGGACGUUACUCGCAGAAUAAGCACCGGCUAACUCUGUGCCAGCCGCCGCGGUAA